UAAACAUUGCAGCUAUAGCAACAUGCAGGCCCAGGUGCUAAAUCACCUGGUUGGGAAGACAGAAACCAUCUCACAUUGCAUCUAAGAACUCUGACCUGAAUGACAUUUUCCAGGAAGUAGGGAUACACACCUACCUACCGAGAGACCUCCAAACAGAGACAUCAACACAGAAACCUCCGCAGAGAUAACCAGAUCUCCAUAUGCAAACCCAUGUAAAAAGAAACCUAGAGAAACAGAUGCCCAGAUGAAGAGGGGUUUCCAGACAGAUUCUUGGCUGACGUUUCUGUCAGUGGUGUGAAAGGACAUUUACCCAGAUUCUAUAGAUAUUUUGGUUAUGCACUCAACAAACCUACAAUGAAACUACCAGAAUACAAAAGCAAUUGUGAACUCCAGAGAGUGCUAGAAAACAUUAUGGAAGAGGGUAUAGUUUAUGUUAAUUAUAGAGGACUAAAGAGAUGUAGAAUAGGAGAGCUGAAAAAGCCUCCACUUCCAGUGGCUCUUAGAGUGUAAUUAGUCCAAGGGACAGCAAGCUGCCUUCUAGCAGAAUCGUUGUGAUCCCAAAGCCCACAUGACUGGGGCCUCUCUCUGGUCCUUUAUACAGUAAUUAAUAUUUAAAAGAUCUCGCUAAAGCCCUGUCAAGUCCUGAAGCAAGAUUUUGAAAAAUAAAAAAACUCAUAAAACACAAAAUAGAA
rnacentral:lncRNA from 1 species